GUGGCACCAAGGCCUUGCGCGGCCCAACGCACAAGGGGGGGACGGCGCGGCCCUCGCCCUGGGCCCCGGGUGCCACCAGGUUUUCCCUUGGUCGGGAUUUCUUUUGUGGGCCUAGGCAGGGCAGGCGCCCCAUGCUGUCUCCGCACUGACCUAGGCACCCACCCCACAUGAGGGCACCCACCCACAUGAGGCGUCGGGAGGUGUGGGGCCCGGGAGAACAUUGCUCUGCCUGGUUUCCUAGGCGGAGGCAGGUGUGUUGUCGGCAAAGACCCUCACUCAGGCCAAGUGUGUGAUGUCUCUUCUUCUUCCGCAGACGCCGAGCCCGGCACCCGGGAACCUGUUCCGGACGUGCCGCUCCCAACCAUGACUCCCAGCACCGAGGCUGACCACGACCACGACCACGACCACGACCACGACCACGACGCCGAGCCCGGCACCCGGGAACCUGUUCCGGACGUGCCGCUCCCAACCAUGACUCCCAGCACCGAGGCUGACCACGACCACGACCACGACCACGACCACGACCACGACCACGACCACGACCACGACCACGACGCCGAGCCCGGCACCCGGGAACCUGUUCCGGACGUGCCGCUCCCAACCAUGACUCCCAGCACCGAGGCUGACCACGACCACGACCACGACCACGACCACGACCACGACGCCGAGCCCGGCACCCGGGAACCUGUUCCGGACGUGCCGCUCCCAACCAUGACUCCCAGCACCGAGGCUGACCACGACCAUGACCACGACCACGACCACGACCACGACCACGACCACGACCACGGUAGGGGCCCGUGUGCCUUGUGUCCUCUGCCCCUGGGAGCCCGCUGGGCUGCCGGGGCUCCUUGAGCGAGAAAUGACAUUUCUAUUGGAUCCGGGAACGUAGAGGCGGUG
rnacentral:lncRNA from 1 species